rnacentral:rRNA from 1 species
GGACGAACGCUGGCGGCGUGCUUAACACAUGCAAGUCGAACGGAAAGGCCCUGCUUGCAGGGUACUCGAGUGGCGAACGGGUGAGUAACACGUGGGUGAUCUGCCCUGCACUUCGGGAUAAGCCUGGGAAACUGGGUCUAAUACCGGAUAGGAGCCAUUUUUAGUGUAAUGGUUGGAAAGUUUUUUCGGUGUAGGAUGAGCUCGCGGCCUAUCAGCUUGUUGGUGGGGUAAUGGCCUACCAAGGCGGCGACGGGUAGCCGGCCUGAGAGGGUGGACUGCCACAUUGGGACUGAGAUACAGCCCAGACUCCUACGGGAGGCAGCAGUGGGGAAUAUUGCACAAUGGGCGCAAGCCUGAUGCAGCGACGCCGCGUGGGGGAUGACGGCCUUCGGGUUGUAAACUCCUUUCGCUAGGGACGAAGCUUUUUGUGACGGUACCUAGAUAAGAAGCACCGGCUAACUACGUG